rnacentral:rRNA from 1 species
AGCGAACGCUGGCGGUAGGCCUAACACAUGCAAGUCGAACGGCAGCACAGUAAGAGCUUGCUCUUACGGGUGGCGAGUGGCGGACGGGAGAGGAAUACAUCGGAAUCUACAUUUUCGUGGGGGAUCACGUAGGGAAACUUACGCUAAUACCGCAUACGACCUACGGGUGAAAGCAGGGGAUCUUCGGACCUUGCGCGAUUGAAUGCGCCGAUGUCGGAUUAGCUAGUUGGCGGGGUAAAGGCCCACCAAGGCGACGAUCCGCAGCUGGUCUGAGAGGAUGAUCAGCCACACUGGAACUGAGACACGGUCCAGACUCCUACGGGAGGCAGCAGUGGGGAAUAUUGGACAAUGGGCGCAAGCCUGAUCCAGCCAUACCGCGUGGGUGAAGAAGGCCUUCGGGUUGUAAAGCCCUUUUGUUGGGAAAGAAAAGCAGCAGGUUAAUACCCCGCUGUUCUGACGGUACCCAAAGAAUAAGCACCGGCUAACUUCGUG